UACGUAGGGUGCGAGCGUUGUCCGGAAUUACUGGGCGUAAAGCGCUCGUAGGUGGUUUGUCGCGUUGUUCGUGAAAACUCACAGCUCAACUGUGGGCGUGCGGGCGAUACGGGCAGACUGGAGUACUGCAGGGGAGACUGGAGUUCCUGGUGUAGCGGUGGAAUGCGCAGAUAUCAGGAGGAACACCGGUGGCGAAGGCGGUCUGCUGGGCAGUUGCUGACACUGAGGCGCGACAGCGUGGGGAGCAAACAGG
rnacentral:rRNA from 1 species